CCGAGCUGCCUCCCUCUUGGCGAUCUUCACCGCCUCGACAUUGGCGACAAGCUGGUACCCAAUCUACAAGAAAGGUCAGGGAGUCAAUAUAAAGGCUGAAGAAUAAAUUAAGUAAAGAAGCAAGAAAGAGAAAAAAGGUGAGUUGACUUACUUCGAGGAAGGAUCCUAGAGAGUCCCAGACCCAUAGCUUGGGAUCAGCAAGGAUGAUC
rnacentral:lncRNA from 1 species